GAACUGCACUGUGGUCAGGUGGUGUGUGGCGUGGGCCGAGGGGAUCAACCCGUGCGGCACCACUAUACCCUGCCGAGGUCACUGGGGGUGGCGCUGGCCCAGUGUGGCCUGGAAGAAGAGGCACAGGUGGCGCUACUGGAGCAGGGCAUCAAAGAAGCAGCUGAGGCCGCGUUGGCCGCAGUGCUGGCCCUGGAGGCCGGACUGAGUGUGGAGCAGCGUGGUGGACGCCAAGUGCACACUGACUUCCUCGGUGAGCACGGGAGGAGCGGCUAGGGCUGGAAGGCUUGGGCGGCGUGGGGAUCGGGUUGAUGUUAGCUCAGUCCGCGCAUUCUCGCCCGGCCCAGGCGUGGACUUCGUUCUCACAGUGGUCGGACGCACGCUGACUCCCGUGGUCCUUAAGC
rnacentral:lncRNA from 1 species